GAGUUGUGAUAGUUUGUUAUGCAAUUUCCACCUGCCGGUCUUAGCUCUACCCUUCUAGCAUCACACAGAGGAAGUCUACUUCAUCUUCCACUUGACAGACCAUCAAAGUAAAGAUCCACCAUGUCUCCCUGAAGUGAUUAAUUUUCAAAGCACCCCCAGCUGAUUGAUUUUCAUUUCACUUAUUAUACGGGUCACCCUUCUUGGGGAAUCCACAUGACUCUUUUUGGCCUUCUGACAAGAUGCAGCUCAGAACAGAAAACAGUCCAUCAGGUGAGCAGAGGGAACAUAAGGGGGCUCUGUGAGAAAGACUCAGUACAUCUUAUUCUGGAAGCUGCUAUGCUGGAAAAAACAUGCUUGGGCUCCUUUCCUGCUUUCUCAUCAUCUGGAAGGUGGACGUGGGAUGACGGCAGGCAGUACAGUGAAUGCAGCUUCCUGAAUAUUUGUUAUUGCAGUCCUAUGGAUGUACGCUUCUCAGAUAAAGGAAGAACCGGGUGCAUCCAUCUGUGCGCAAAUUAA
ensembl:lncRNA